CAAGACAGACUGGUGAGGAGACAGACUUAUUUCCUAUUUCCAUCUCUACAGCUAGACAGCAGACUGAUGCUUGGGAURCUUCCCAAAUGGCACCCUAUUCCCUAAUAGGCCCUGAUCAAAAGUAUUGUACUAUAUAGGGAAUAGGGUUCUAUUUGGGAUGCAAGCUAGAUGUUUUCAGCUGACUCAGUGAACCGUGACAGAACAGAAAGCAGCCAGGGAAAUCAGCCCUACCGUUUACAGAUGGACACAGAGAUAAGUACGAAGGGAUGAUUCCGAUGCGGAGCGCACAUGGAACCAGGUCCUGGUUCGAUUGGUUCUGGUCCACUCUGGAAUCACUCUGGGUCCAGGCCGUGGACAACCUCGCUGAACAUCCCGUCCCCUCCCACACACACCACCCUGAUCAGGGACACACACACCCACGAUGCAUGAAAACACUCCUUUGAGACCAGCCUUAGAGUGUCUGCUGUUUUUUGAUAUUUCCCUUCAAUUUGUGUCCUAUUAAGACCUAGACAACCAGGUGAGGGGAUUUCCUAACUAAUCAGUGACCUUAAUUGAUCAAUCAAGUACAAGGGAGGAGUAAAAACCCACAGACACUCUGCCCCCCUAAGCUUUCAUGUUAAUGUUGUUAUUGCAUUGAUGCUGCCAUUAAUGUCCACUUUGCUCUCAGCAGUCCCCUUUCCUCAGAUAUAAAGGGAUUGUGGUUGGACAUGGACUGUUUUGUACGGAAAUCUUCACUUAGUCUUUUGCACCAACAAAGUAAUUUCUGACUGAGAUAAUAAAGUCUAUGCCAGGUGA